AGUUCGUACUGUGAAGCAUCCUGUUAAGUCAGGCAACGAGCGAGACCCACGCCAACAGUUGCCAGCUCGUCCUCCGGGAUGGUGGGGACACUGUUGGGACCGCCUCUGCUAAAGAGGAGGAAGGAAUGGGCAACGGUAGGUCAGCAUGCCCCGAAUUAUCUGGGCUACACGCGGGCUACAAUGGGUGGGACAAUGGGUAUCGACACCGAAAGGUGAAGGCAAUCUCCUAAACCCAUCCGUAGUUCGGAUUGUGGGCUGCAACUCGCCCACAUGAAGCUGGAAUCUGUAGUAAUCGUGUCUCAAAAUGGCACGGUGAAUAUGUCCCUGCUCCUU
rnacentral:rRNA from 1 species